UAGAGCAUAAGCGUAUUCGUCUAUUGACACCAUCUUUGGAGCUCAGGGCGUUAUUUUUUGCAAGUGUCUCCAAGCGAGGCAGAUAUGUGUUCUCUGGUGCAUAUCUUUCCCGAGUGCAUCUCCCACCUUGUUUACUCGGUAUGAGAAACACCGUACAACCGGCAUAUAAUUUGUUUACAUUUUGUUUACGUUGAGCAUGUUUUUAGGGACAGCUUCCAACGGAUGGUUCUCCUAUAUAAGCUGUAAUUGGAAAAUAACAAACUUUAUGAGCUUAAGUUAUGAGCUUUGUUAAACAAUACUGAUCUUUAAAUGUUAGAGAUUGAAAUGGCUAUAUAAAAUAAUAUAUGGACAUGAA
rnacentral:sRNA from 1 species